GGAUCGAUGAUGAGUCAAAAAAAAAAAAAAACAUUCCUUGGAAAAGCUGAACAAAAUGAGUGAGAACUCAUACCGUCGCUGUCAUCGGAACUGAGGUCC
rnacentral:snoRNA from 1 species